GACGUAGGGGGCGAGCGUUGUCCGGAUUCAUUGGGCGUAAAGAGCACGCAGGCGGUUUGGCAAGUCGGGUGUGAAAACCCGAAGCUCAACUUCGGGCCUGCAUCCGAAACUGCCCGACUAGAGGUAGGUAGGGGAGAUCGGAAUUCCUGGUGUAGCGGUGAAAUGCGCAGAUAUCAGGAGGAACACCGGUGGCGAAGGCGGAUCUCUGGGCCUUACCUGACGCUCAGGUGCGAAAGCUAGGGGAGCGAACAGG
rnacentral:rRNA from 1 species